GGGAACGGCAAGAUGGCGGCACGAGCAGUGUUUGCGGCCCUGGGCCGGCGUCUCUGGCAGGGUUCAAGAAAUUUUUCUGUAAGCAGCUCUAGGAGCAGUAUAGCCAAAAACGAUGGCUUUCUUCUCAGCACCAGUAUGAAGUGGGUACAGUUUUCAAACCUACACGUUGAUGUUCCCAAGGAUUUGACCAAGCCUACGAUAACCAUUUCUGAUGAACCGGACACAUUAUAUAAGCGCCUAUCAGUUUUAGUAAAAGGCCAUGAUAAGGCUGUAUUGGACAGUUACAAAUAUUUUGCAGUGCUUGCUGCUAAAGAACUUGGUAUCUCUAUUAAAGUACAUGAACCUCCAAGGAAAAUAGAGGGAUUUACUCUUCUCAAAUCAGUGCAUAUUUUCAAGAAGCACAGAGUUCAGUAUGAAAUGAGAACACUUUACAGAUGUUUAGAGUUAGAACAUCUCACUGGAAGUACAGCAGAUGUCUGCUUGGAAUAUAUUCAGCGAAACUUACCUGAAGGAGUUGCCAUGAAAGUUACAAAGACAAGAUUAGAACAGUUACCAGAACACAUCAAGAAGCCAGGCUGGGAAACAACACCGGAGGAAAAAGGAGACAGCAAGACAUAAAGUCCCGCAGUGAGCACUUGUGCCAGGAUGUGGAGUGAACCUGUCAAGUGGAGGGACCCUCCACCGA